rnacentral:rRNA from 1 species
AGCGAACGCUGGCGGCAUGCUUAACACAUGCAAGUCGCACGUUGGGGGCAACUCCGGCAGUGGCGGACGGGUGAGUAACGCGUAGGAAUCUAUCCUUGGGUGGGGGACAACCGUGGGAAACUACGGCUAAUACCGCAUGAUCCCUGAGGGGCAAAGGCGCAAGUCGCCUGAGGAGGAGCCUGCGUCUGAUUAGGUAGUUGGUGGGGUAAAGGCCUACCAAGCCUACGAUCAGUAGCUGGUCUGAGAGGAUGAUCAGCCACAUUGGGACUGAGACACGGCCCAAACUCCUACGGGAGGCAGCAGUGGGGAAUAUUGGACAAUGGGCGCAAGCCUGAUCCAGCAAUGCCGCGUGGAUGAAGAAGGUCUUCGGAUUGUAAAGUCCUUUUGGCAGGGACGAUGAUGACGGUACCUGCAGAAUAAGCUCCGGCUAACUUCGUG